rnacentral:piRNA from 1 species
UAUAGUAGAGCCCUAUCUGAGGUUACUAA